rnacentral:rRNA from 1 species
GAUGAACGCUAGCGGCAGGCUUAAUACAUGCAAGUCGAGGGACAGCACAGGUAGCAAUACUGGGUGGUAACCGGCAAACGGGUGCGGAACACGUACACAACCUUCCUUUAAGUGGGGGAUAGCCCAGAGAACUUUGGAUUAAUACCCCGUAAUAUAGUUGAAUGGCAUCAUUUGAUUAUUAUAGCUACGGCGCUUAAUGAUGGGUGUGCGGCUGAUUAGAUAGUUGGCGGGGUAACGGCCCACGAAGUCUACGAUCAGUAGCUGAUGUGAGAGCAUGAUCAGCCACACGGGCACUGAGACACGGGCCCGACUCCUACGGGAGGCAGCAGUAAGGAAUAUUGGUCAAUGGACGCAAGUCUGAACCAGCCAUGCCGCGUGAAGGGUUAAGGUCCUCUGGAUUGUAAACUUCUUUUAUUUGGGACGAAAAAGGGUCUUUCUAGAUCAACUGACGGUACCAGAUGAAUAAGCACCGGCUAACUCCGUGCCAGCAGCCGCCGUAACAC